UACGGAGGGAGCUAGCGUUGUUCGGAAUUACUGGGCGUAAAGCGCACGUAGGCGGCUUUGUAAGUUAGAGGUGAAAGCCCGGGGCUCAACUCCGGAAUUGCCUUUAAGACUGCAUCGCUUGAAUCCAGGAGAGGUGAGUGGAAUUCCGAGUGUAGAGGUGAAAUGCGUAGAUAUCCGGAGGAACACCGGUGGCGAAGGCGGCUUCCUGGACCGACACUGACGCUGAGGCGCGAAAGCUAGGGGAGCAAACGGG
rnacentral:rRNA from 1 species